UGGUGCGUUACUGCUCAUGAUUGCUUGGAGUGUUCUAAAAGUAACCUUGGUACUUCAACCCAAACAAAUGCCAGUAUGGACUUCGGAUUCAUAUUAACAAAAUAUUAGAAAUGGAAUCCUGAGUUUUGCAGCUGGAACAGAGUCUAUGUUCACUAUUGUGAUGAGUCCUCAUUUAUGGGAGAUGUUGAAUCCGUGAGUAAUAAUGUAACUUACCGUGGAGCAAGGAUUUUCA